UGGGGAAUCUUCCGCAAUGGGCGAAAGCCUGACGGAGCAACGCCGCGUGAGUGAAGACGGCCUUCGGGUUGUAAAACUCUGUGAUUCGGGACGAAAGAUAAGCAGACGAAUAAUUUGCACAAGUGACGGUACCGAAAAAGCAAGCCACGGCUAACUACGUGCCAGCAGCCGCGGUAAUACGUAGGUGGCAAGCGUUGUCCGGAAUUAUUGCGCGUAAAGCGCGCGCAGGCGGCUACUUAAGUCCAUCUUAAAAGUGCGGGGCUUAACCCCGUGAUGGGAUGGAAACUGAGAAGCUGGAGUGUCGGAGAGGAAAGUGGAAUUCCUAGUGUGGCGGUGAAAUGCGUAGAGAUUAGGAAGAACACCGGUGGCGAAGGCGACUUUCUGGACGACAACUGACGCUUAGGCGCGAAAGCGUGGGGAGCAAACAGG
rnacentral:rRNA from 1 species